CGGGCUAUAAGGUUGGAUGACUCUGUAGUUUUCCUGCCGUAGAGAAACGAAUCCCGAACGAAGGCAUAUCAAAUAUUCAAAGUCUUCUUUAGAAAUAUGAUCUUUAUCAGUCAGUUGUUUGCAUUCUGAAAAUACUGUUGCCAGACGACUCAUUUCCACUUUACCACAAGUCCGGAGUAAAGCUUGAGCUGUUGAAUGUUC
rnacentral:lncRNA from 1 species